rnacentral:rRNA from 1 species
UACGGGGGGGGCAAGCGUUGUUCGGAAUUACUGGGCGUAAAGGGCUCGUAGGUGGCCAACUAAGUCAGACGUGAAAUCCCUCGGCUUAACCGGGGAACUGCGUCUGAUACUGGAUGGCUUGAGUUUGGGAGAGGGACGCGGAAUUCCAGGUGUAGCGGUGAAAUGCGUAGAUAUCUGGAGGAACACCGGAGGCGAAGGCGGAUCACUGGACUGCCACUGACGCUGAGGCGCGAAAGCUAGGGGAGCAAACAGG